rnacentral:tRNA from 1 species
GCCCUUGUAGCUCAACUGGAUAGAGCAGCGCACUUCUAAUGCGCAGGUUGCAGGUUCGAGUCCUGCCGGGGGUGC